rnacentral:rRNA from 1 species
GAUGAACGCUGGCGGCGUGCUUAACACAUGCAAGUCGAACGGCAGCACGGGAGCAAUCCUGGUGGCGAGUGGCGAACGGGUGAGUAAAGUAUCGGAACGUGCCCAGUCGUGGGGGAUAACGUAGCGAAAGUUACGCUAAUACCGCAUACGAUCUACGGACGAAAGCGGGGGAUCGCAAGACCUCGCGCGAUUGGAGCGGCUGAUAUCAGAUUAGGUAGUUGGUGGGGUAAAGGCUCACCAAGCCGACGAUCUGUAGCUGGUCUGAGAGGACGACCAGCCACACUGGGACUGAGACACGGCCCAGACUCCUACGGGAGGCAGCAGUGGGGAAUUUUGGACAAUGGGCGCAAGCCUGAUCCAGCCAUGCCGCGUGCAGGAUGAAGGCCUUCGGGUUGUAAACUGCUUUUGUACGGAACGAAAAGGUUUGGCCUAAUAAGCUGGACCCAUGACGGUACCGUAAGAAUAAGCACCGGCUAACUACGUGCCAGCCGCCGCUGUAA